CAAAUGUAGCACGUAACCUCAGAUUUUCCAAAAGUAGCAUUUAUAUAUAUAUUAUUUAAUUAAAAUAACAAAAUACAUCUUUUCCAAAAUUAAAUUAACCAUCUUUAGAUUUCUUAGCUCCCGUGAAGCUUAUGGUGAAGAGCCGAACUGAAAUCUUCAUUUCCGAUCUCAUUUUUUCCAAUUAACUGCCAAAUCGAUCGACUGAUUCCUUUACGAUCAAAAUCUCCAUCACGAGCAUCUUCAUUCACCGAAUUCUGAUAAAAAAAAAAAAACAGAGUUUAUAGCUUCCGCCGUCGUCUAAGAUAGUGUGUGUGGCGGCGGAGAGUCCUCCGGCGAAAAUAACAGCGGACGACUGGGGGGAAAGUAUCGGUGGUUUUAAUUGGAUAAGGAUGGUGGGCUUUGUAACAGUGAGGGGUUUUCUAGACGCGUCGUGUGUUUAGAUUAAUUGAUUUCGUUGAUUUUUUGGGUUUGGCGAUUCACAUAUGAAGCUAAGUUUUUGGGAGGUGUUGCUUCAGGCAAAAGGAGUAGAAGGAUUUGAUAAAAAGAGGCCAAGAAUUAAAUAGAUGCGGUUGGGGAUUUGCAUGUUCCUUGUGGUUGGGAUUGUUUGUCUCGUUGCUCUCUUUAUCCACCACUUCUGCAAAUACUCACCUGAAGUAGUGAAGAAGUUAUACCUUCACCAAAAAGUUCAUGUUUAACAAAACUGCAGACGUUUGUAGCAUUGGUUUAUUUGGGUUCAGCUAAUGGAUUAUGGGAAUCAUAUGCUACAAGAUGAUGGAGGAGGAUCUCUGGUUAUGACCAUCUCUAUUUUUGAGAUUUCUGAACAUUUAGGAAAUCCUUCUUAAAAUUCAAAGAUCCUUCCUAAACACCAUCCAAUCCUUCCUUAAUCGUUUUUUUUUUCAUCUAGCGUGUGGUCUUUUUACAUGUUUAUUGUUAUACUUUCCUCGAAUGAAAAGCUUGAGUUAUUUGUUACACUUUA